CUGUACCUCACCGCAGUCGCCGGCUUUGAGUUAUGCCUUCUUUGCGUGUGCAGGAGUCGCCUUCACUUGAAAACAUCCGUCGAGACCUGCACAUUUAGUUUUGGUGGUUUUGACGCUGUGCGAAUGGCUGAGGCCGUCUCUGCGAUGCACUCUCAGCGCGUAGACUGUCGUUUUGUACGUUGGUGGUAACGACGUUUGCAGUGCCAACGCGGACCCUCAAGAAUAGGGAAGUUAGUUCUGCAACUGCAGCACGAUGUGGCCCCCGUGGUGUAUACGUCUUCAAAGUGCUGCCACGUUGCUCCAGCUCUGAAGACGCCGAUGCAGAGCGCCAGAUCAAGAAAACGCGCUUGCUGAACCGCAAGCUGACGGCUACGCUGAAACGCCUGCCGUGUGUUCGAAUCUUAAACGCCGAGCAUGUUGGUCUUCAUUCGAGAGCUGUCUCACCUUUGGAUGUUCAGAGGCAUCCACUUCCACCUUGAGCACCGCACCGUGCAGCCAACGCUCUGCGGAGCGUCUCUCGCGGGCGGCUGGGGCACGCAAGCGCAGUGACAACUGUAGGUGGUGCCUUCGCCG